rnacentral:rRNA from 1 species
UACGAAGGGGGCUAGCGUUGUUCGGAUUUACUGGGCGUAAAGCGCACGUAGGCGGAUCGAUCAGUCAGGGGUGAAAUCCCAGGGCUCAACCCUGGAACUGCCUUUGAUACUGUCGAUCUGGAGUAUGGAAGAGGUGAGUGGAAUUCCGAGUGUAGAGGUGAAAUUCGUAGAUAUUCGGAGGAACACCAAUGGCGAAGGCAGCUCGCUGGGACGGUACUGACACUGAGACGCGAAAGCGUGGGGAGCAAACAGG